UUGAACUGAAGAGUUUGAUCCUGGCUCAGAUUGAACGCUGGCGGCAUGCCUUACACAUGCAAGUCGAACGGCAGCACGGGUGCUUGCACCUGGUGGCGAGUGGCGAACGGGUGAGUAAUACAUCGGAACAUGUCCUGUAGUGGGGGAUAGCCCGGCGAAAGCCGGAUUAAUACCGCAUACGAUCUACGGAUGAAAGCGGGGGACCUUCGGGCCUCGCGCUAUAGGGUUGGCCGAUGGCUGAUUAGCUAGUUGGUGGGGUAAAGGCCUACCAAGGCGACGAUCAGUAGCUGGUCUGAGAGGACGACCAGCCACACUGGGACUGAGACACGGCCCAGACUCCUACGGGAGGCAGCAGUGGGGAAUUUUGGACAAUGGGCGAAAGCCUGAUCCAGCAAUGCCGCGUGUGUGAAGAAGGCCUUCGGGUUGUAAAGCACUUUUGUCCGGAAAGAAAUCCUUGGCUCUAAUACAGUCGGGGGAUGACGGUACCGGAAGAAUAAGCACCGGCUAACUACGUGCCAGCAGCCGCGGUAAUACGUAGGGUGCAAGCGUUAAUCGGAAUUACUGGGCGUAAAGCGUGCGCAGGCGGUUUGCUAAGACCGAUGUGAAAUCCCCGGGCUCAACCUGGGAACUGCAUUGGUGACUGGCAGGCUAGAGUAUGGCAGAGGGGGUAGAAUUCCACGGUGUAGCAGUGAAAUGCGUAGAGAUGUGGAGGAAUACCGAUGGCGAAGGCAGCCCCCUGGGCC
rnacentral:rRNA from 1 species